rnacentral:rRNA from 1 species
GACAGAGGGUGCAAACGUUGUUCGGAAUUACUGGGCGUAAAGCGUGUGUAGGCGGCUUUGCAAGUCGGAUGUGAAAGCCCCGGGCUCAACCCGGGAAGUGCACUCGAUACUGCAGAGCUUGAGUGUCGGAGAGGUUGGUGGAAUUCUCGGUGUAGAGGUGAAAAUUCGUAGAUAUCGAGAGGAACACCGGCGGCGAAGGCGGCCAACUGGACGAACACUGACGCUGAGACACGAAAGCGUGGGGAGCAAACAGG